rnacentral:antisense_RNA from 1 species
AUGCAGCCCACCAGCUUGCAGGGAGGGCAGACCCUGGGGGAUGUGAGGGCGGCUUUCUGGGAACCUCACGCAGAUCCUAAAACGAUGAGCGCCAGGGAGCCCCGCCUGCUUGUCCCCUCCCCAGAUCCCUCGGGCUCUGGAGACCUUGCGGGCCCCCUGUCUGUGGCCACCUGAAAUAGGUCCUGGAGCUGCUACUGCUGGCUUAGGCUGGUUGGUGGAAAGGAUCCAGGGCUGUUUCGGUGAAGGCCUUGGGGAGUCCAGAAGCCGCCUGGCACCUUCUGGGUCCAGACGCUGCCCUUCAGCCCUGCCAUUUCAGCCAGCCUCAGCUUCUCCGCUGUAGAGGCAGGCCGCCCUUUCUGCCGCUGUCUGGCUGGGCUGGGCCGUGGGAGUGCUGGCCAACGUGCCAGGCAGGGAGGACCUGAAUUCCUGAAGGUGGUGGUGGCAGCUGUUAGGGUCCACAGGUUAAUGAUCUCCAACGUCACACAGAAGAGAAUGUGCUGAGGUGUGACCUCCCUCACCCUGCCUUGGCUGCGUGGGGCACUGCCUCUCCAGGACUCACCCUGCCCCCAACUAGACUGAAGUCUGACGAUCAGCCCAGUCUUCCUUCAGGCCUCGAUGCCCUCUCGCUUCCCCAGCCCGAGGGACUCCUUGCUCUUCUCAGAGGCUGCUCUGCGGGGUCCCUACCCUGGGCCUUUGCUAAUGCUGUGCCCUCUGCCUGUCCCAGAGGUGGGCCUGGCCUGUUUCUCAGGGAGCUCCUGAACACCAAGAAAUUGAAUUGCUUUAUAAAUAAACAAAAAGUGCCGAACAA